AGCGAACGCUGGCGGUAGGCCUAACACAUGCAAGUCGAACGGCAGCACAGUAAGAGCUUGCUCUUACGGGUGGCGAGUGGCGGACGGGUGAGUAAUACAUCGGAAUCUACUUUUUCGUGGGUGCUAACGCCGGGAAAUUUACGCUAAUACCGCAUUCGACCCACGGGUGAAAGCAGGCGUUCUUCGAACUUGUCGCGAUUGAAUAAGCCUAUGUCGGUUGCGCUCGUUGGCGGGGUAAAGGCCCACCCCGGCGACGAUCCGAAUCUGGUCUGAGAGGAUGAUCAGCCAGACUGGAUGUGAGACACGGUCCCGACUCCUGCAGGAGGACGCAGUGGGGAAUAUUGGACGAUGGGCGCGAGCCGGAUACAGCAAUACCGCGUGGGUGAAGAAGGACUUCGGGUUGGAGAGCCAUUUUGUUGGGAGAGAAGAGCAGCAGGUUUAUACCCCGCUGUUAUGACGGUACCCAAAGAAUAAGCACCGGCUAACUUCGUG
rnacentral:rRNA from 1 species